AAAAAUUUCAACAGUUUAUUAAAAAUUUAAACAUAUGACCCAGCCAUUCCAUUCUUAGAAACUUACCCAAGAGAAAUGAAAGCAUGUCCAUACAAAGUAACAAAAACUUGAAAUAACCCAAAUAUCUAUCAGCUGGUGAAUGGAUUAAUAAAUUACUGCAUAUCCAUACAAUGGAAAACAGCUCAGCAAUAAAAUGAAAUAGAUGAGACAGGCAACAGUUGACUCAUUUAAGCUGAGUGAAAGAAGCCAGUCAACAAAGAAUACAUAUUUUAUGAUUGAUUCCAGAAAAUACGUAUGUUAAUCUAUAGUGACAAAAAAGCAAAUCACUGGGUUCUUGGAAACUUUGUAGGGGCUGUGGAGUAGGUAAGCUGGGAGGAAGAGAUUAUAAAGGGGCUAAGGGGACAUCUGGUGGUUAUGGUUGUACUCAUCUUCCUUGUUAAAAUGAUUUCAUGGGUGUAUACAUAUGUGAAAAUUAAUGAAAGUGUAUCCUUUAAAUGUGUGCAGGCUGAACGUAAAACAAUCUUCUAAAGCAUAGGAACAUGCAAACCCAAACCCAAGGUCUGUGGUUGGCUAGUUCAGAAUUCAGGUUAAUCAAGUUGGUGAUUUUUUUUUUAGCCUGGUGAAAGUAAGGAGAGAUUUGUGCUUUUUCCCAUCAAAAUAUGUUAUGACACUUUUGAGGAUCCUUCAUCUGACCAGAAAUCUUAAGAUCUUCCUGUUAACGCAGGUUUCUUCCCUCUACAGUGCCAGUCACCUGCCUCACCUCUCUAGCCUCAUCUUGGAACACACUGUCAAGCAUGUAACCUGGCCUCUGGCAGUUUUGCUGAGUUACAUAUUAUUAGUACUAAAUGACAUAAGUAAGAGGUUUUGACAACAGCCCAAGCUUCUAAAUAGAAGACUGAGCUACAGGAAGAAACAUGCAGUGUGCAAGAAAACUACCUACAUGUGACUAACACCUGCUAACUUGUAAAUAGUGAGGGCAUGGGCUGCUUCUUAGCUCCAGUGGAAGUCACAGCAGAGAUGAC
ensembl:lncRNA